UUAAUAUUACACACUUGCUUAUAUAAAUAAAUUCCAACAACAAGAUUCCGCCAACCUACUUGCCUCUAUACAUACUAUAAAUAAAAGAGAAAAGAGGAUAAGUUGAGCACCAAUUUUUCCAAAAUGAAGGCUUUUCCCAUUCUCUGCAUUCUCUUAGCUUCCAUUCUUUCUUUUCCUUCCGUUUAUUCUCGACAACUUAUAGCAAAAGGAGCUGUGAAUGGAUCAUCAGCAACACCAUUUUGUCCGAUAUACAAGCGCAAUUGCCACAUCAAUGUCAAUGCAUCACCACCACCA